GUCAGUAGUCUGAGGGAGACGCUGGUGCUCACUCAGCUCUACAGAAAUGAAACCACACAUCAUUAUCCUCCUGGCUUCGGCCGUCCUCCUGGUCUCCGUGACCGGUAGACGUCAUGCAGGUGGAGGUGGCGGUGGUGGUGGUGGUGGUGGUGCCAUUGAAACAGGUGGAGGAGGGAAUCAUGAUGGGAAAGGAGGUGGUGCAGGUUUUGGGCUAGGGGGUGGAGGAGGUGGAGGUGGAUUUGGAUUUGGAG